rnacentral:tRNA from 2 species
GCGCGAGUGGCGGAAUGGUAGACGCGCUGGCUUCAGGUGCCAGUGUUCGCAAGGACGUGGGGGUUCGAGUCCCCCCUCGCGCA